UCUCACUUCCAGCUUCUCCAGCUGAGUUGCUCAUCCUUACCUUUGCCAAGCCAGCCUGGUUGGUGGGCCUCCCUUCUGCUAUCAUGUCACCACUGCACGGACCAGGGCUGGACGGAAAGAUGCUGAUGAGCAUCCCGAAUACAUCAGUAACGAGGAAGGCCUGUGCAAAGGGAUGCAUCUCGCCAAGUCCCCUCAAAGUGGUACGUAACAUGGCCAGGGCUGGGAAAUCCCUGUGUAACCUUUUCACUCAGUGAGUCGUUGCAAGUUGGAGUGUCUCGCCUGGAGGUUCUAAAACCAAUGGACCCAUUCCUGGCCUUUGGCUCAUUCCCUUUGUGCCACUCCAUUAAACGACCAAGGAGAUUAAAAGGAUCC